AAUACGCAGUGGACACAGGAAUACGCAGUGGAGACAGGAAUACGCAGUGGAGACAAGAAUACGCAGUGGACACAGGAAUACGCAGUGGAGACAGGAAUACGCAGUGGACACAGGAAUACGCAGUGGACACAGGAAUAUGCAGUGGAGACAGGAAUAUGCAGUGGAGACAGGAAUACGCAGUGGACACAGGAAUACGCAGUGGACACAGGAAUACGCAGUGGAGACUGGAAUAUGCAGUGGAGACAGGAACACGCAGUGGAGACAGGAAUACGCAGUAGAGACAAGAAUACGCAGUGGACACAGGAAUACGCAGUGGACACAGGAAUACGCAGUGGAGACAGGAAUACGCAGUGGACACAGGAAUACGCAGUGGACACAGGAAUAUGCAGUGGAGACAGGAAUACGCAGUGGACACAGGAAUACGCAGUGGACACAGGAAUACGCAGUGGACACAGGAAUACGCAGUGGAGACAGGAAUACGCAGUGGAGACAGGAAUAUGCAGUGGAGACAGGAAUACGCAGUGGAGACAGGAAUACGCAGUGGACACAGGAAUACGCAGUGGAGACAGGAAUACGCAGUGGAGACAGGAACACGCAGUGGAGACAGGAACACGCAGUGGAGACAGGAAUACGCUGUGGAGACAGGAAUACACUGGGUCGGUUUGGACGUUGGUGCUGGGGAUUGAAGCAAGCCUUGAACGCGACCAGACAGUGCUGUAACUGAACUGCUUCUUCCCUGGGGCAGUGUUUCUUUCAGUUCCGAGGUUCUGCUCACCUGGUUUCUAAUUUAUGCAGAUAAAUCUCUGGGUCAAGC
rnacentral:lncRNA from 1 species